UACGGAGGGGACUAGCGUUGUUCGGAAUUACUGGGCGUAAAGCGCACGUAGGCGGAUUUGUAAGUCAGGGGUGAAAUCCCGGGGCUCAACCUCGGAACUGCCUUUGAUACUGCAAAUCUCGAGUCCGGAAGAGGUGAGUGGAAUUCCUAGUGUAGAGGUGAAAUUCGUAGAUAUUAGGAAGAACACCAGUGGCGAAGGCGGCUCACUGGUCCGGUUCUGACGCUGAGGCGCGAAAGCGUGGGGAGCAAACAGG
rnacentral:rRNA from 1 species